CUGGAUUGUUCAAAACAAUAGGGAGAAAUUUCCAACAUAAGGCACUGUUCAUGUGGGGACUCCUUGCCACGGUAUGCUAUGGGCUUGUGUUUACAUGGUUCAAAAAUAAUUUGGACAAAUUCAUGGAUAAAAACCUCCUAAGGCUAUUAAAAACCAGAACAUACCUUCUUGCUCUGAAAGGUAUUUCAGCUCAAGGCUUUCUGAGCUGCAGGUUAUGAGAAACCAGGGAGAAAUAUGUUUAAAAGGGCUUAUUAGGCUAGCUAGACCUCAGAAAAGCAGGUUACAAAAACCAUUGAGGGCCUUAUAGUGUGUGGUAGAAGAUGAUAUAGUAGAAUGACCUCCCUGCUCAUCCAAAUUUUAGGCUGAUUUUAAGGAGACACUUAGGGCACUGCACAACUAAAGCAGCCAGAAUUUUCUCUCCCUCUGUCUGAGAUGGGCUCAGGCAAAGACCCCCCAUGUUAGCAGGGGCUGUCCAUCACCACAGAGCUGGGAGAGUUUUCUGGCCAAGAUUUCUUGCAGGUUUGCUCAGAAGAUGAGGUUGAAUCCAUCCAGACCUAGCCCACUUCCUUCUGGGAGAGGACAGCAGGAGAGAAUGUUGAUACAACAGUGGAGGAGAGAGGCAGAGGAAGGCAACCAGUGCAAUGGCUAUCAGAGGGACAGGAACUCCAUUUUCUCACACUGUCACUCCAGCCCUGGACUGCACCAACGUUGCUGAAGCUGAUGCUUUAAUAUAAAGCAACUUGUGCAUUGCAACAAGGAAACUCAGCCAAAUGAGAGAGCACCUAUCUCAGAAAUGAGAACGACUGCCAGGCUCUCCUGGCUUCGGUUCUGCCCGCGCAGCUCCCGUGGAGGCUCAGGAGAUGGGCAGCAGCCAGCACUGAUCAUGUUCCAGCCACUCUCUCCUCUUCCCCAUGGCCUUGCUGAGAGCUGAGCACUUUGGAGCAGCAGUUUGGAGCAGCGGGAGCUCAGGGGCUGAGCUGCAAGAGGAGAGCUGCUCCCCACCAGCCAUGCCCACCACCUUCCUUCAGGUGUGCCAGGGCAGAGGGGGGCUGCAAACCAA